AUUGUACGCUGGCGGCAUGCCUUACACAUGCAAGUCGAACGGCAGCACGGGAGCUUGCUCCUGGUGGCGAGUGGCGAACGGGUGAGUAAUAUAUCGGAACGUGCCCAGUCGUGGGGGAUAACGUAGCGAAAGCUACGCUAAUACCGCAUACGAUCUAUGGAUGAAAGCGGGGGAUCGCAAGACCUCGCGCGAUUGGAGCGGCCGAUAUCAGAUUAGGUAGUUGGUGNGGUAAAGGCUCACCAAGCCGACGAUCUGUAGCUGGUCUGAGAGGACGACCAGCCACACUGGGACUGAGACACGGCCCAGACUCCUACGGAGGCAGCAGUGGGAAUUUUGGGACAAUAGGGCGCAAGCCUGAUCCAGCAAUGCCGCGUGCAGGA
rnacentral:rRNA from 1 species